CCUACGGGUGGCAGCAGUGGGGAAUAUUGGGCAAUGGGCGCAAGCCUGACCCAGCAACGCCGCGUGAAGGAAGAAGGCCUUCGGGUUGUAAACCUCUUUUCUCAGGGACGAAGCAAGUGACGGUAACUGAGGAAUAAGCUACGGUAACUACGUGCCAGCAGCCGCGGUAAUACGUAGGGGGCAAGCGUUAUCCGGAUUUACUGGGAGUAAAGGGCGUGUAGGCGGGGACGCAAGUCAGAUGUGAAAGCCACGGGCUCAACCUGGGGACUGCAUUUGACACUGUGUGUCUUGAGUACUGGAGAGGCAGACGGAAUUCCAAGUGUAGCAGUGAAAUGCGUAGAUAUUAGGAGGAACACCAGUGGCGAAGGCGGUCUGCUGGACAGCAACUGACGCUGAGGCGCGAAAGCGUGGGGAGCAAACAGGAUUAGAUACCCUAGUAGUC
rnacentral:rRNA from 1 species